rnacentral:rRNA from 1 species
UACGUAGGGUGCGAGCGUUUAAUCGGAAUUACUGGGCGUAAAGAGUGCGUAGGCGGUUCGUUAUGUCUGCUGUGAAAGCCCCGGGCUUAACCCGGGAAUGGCAGUGGAAACUGGCGGGCUUGAGUGUGGCAGAGGGGGUGGAAUUCCGCGUGUAGCAGUGAAAUGCGUAGAUAUGCGGAGGAACACCGAUGGCGAAGGCAAUCCCCUGGGCCUGCACUGACGCUCAUGCACGAAAGCGUGGGGAGCAAACAGG